rnacentral:rRNA from 1 species
GACGAACGCUGGCGGCGUGCUUAACACAUGCAAGUCGAACGGAAAGGCCCUGCUUUUGUGGGGUGCUCGAGUGGCGAACGGGUGAGUAACACGUGAGUAACCUGCCCUUGACUUUGGGAUAACUUCAGGAAACUGGGGCUAAUACCGGAUAGGAGCUCCUGCUGCAUGGUGGGGGUUGGAAAGUUUCGGCGGUUGGGGAUGGACUCGCGGCUUAUCAGCUUGUUGGUGGGGUAGUGGCUUACCAAGGCUUUGACGGGUAGCCGGCCUGAGAGGGUGACCGGGGCCACAGUGAGAGAGAGAGAGGCCAGAGACUCAUGGGAGGGAGAAGUGGGGGAAAUAGUGCAAAAGGGGGGAAAGCGAGGUGCAAAAGCCGCGCGUGGGAUAAGGGGGCGUGGGGGGUAAAAAGCGUUUGCGGGUGAGGAAGAGGGAGAGACGGGAAAAGGGGAAGAAGCAACGGGCAACUACGUG